rnacentral:tRNA from 1 species
GGAGAGAUGGCUGAGCGGCUGAAGGCGGCGGAUUGCUAAUCCGUUGUAGGUUUUAUGGCCUACCCAGGGUUCGAAUCCCUGUCUCUCCG